ensembl:lncRNA
GAGCCAUUAAAGGAAGAUCCGUCUGCAGCAUUGUGCUAAGGACUCCUGACCUGUGACGCUGGGGAACGCACACACAGAUGACUAGUUUCUCAGCGUCCUCCCCUCCUGACACAGCUGGCCCCUUCCCUCUACUUUUCAGUGACAUAGGCACAGGCCCAGAGGAGGGGGGUUAUGCUUUCCUAGUUCUGUCCCUCGCCCGCCGCCCUGACACCGUAACUCAAAGACAGCGUGGUGUUUGUGCCGACUGCUCAUCUCUUUUCACCCGUUAGCCUGUGGAGGCUUUGUGAUUAUCCACACUGAGUCCCUCUUUCCACUCCUGUGGCCACAUUUCCUUCUCCAGCCGGAGGAAGCAUUGCGGAUGACUGCAGUGAUUGGCGCUCUCAUGAUUAGUGCAAACCCUGUAGGAAGAGAUGGAUGUGGAAACUCUCUGCCUUCCUUGGUUCCUGGACAUCAGAGAUCUUCUUGAUGGGUCCCCUCUGGUUACUCCAUCUUCAUCCCAAAGAAACAAUUACUCUACCCCAUCUUGUCUCAUGCUUUUGUGCGCAGUGCACACUCUGUUCCAAACGCUGGGGGUCCGGGGGGCUGUCUUACUCAUCCCUGAAAAUCUACCCCAGUGGUGAGCCUCAGUGAACCUCCUGUCUGCCCAGCUUCCCCUCCUCUCCAGUCUCCAAAGUUUCAUUCUUCUCUCUGUGUAUACAAUCAAUCCUCAUUACUCACAGUUGCAAAGCUGUCUACUCACUAAAAUGUAUUUGUAAUCCCCAAAUCAAUACUCGAGGCACUUUUGCGGCCAUUCUGGACAUGUGCAAAGUGUUAAAAAUUCGACAUUCCCAACUGAAGUGAAACGAGGCCAUCUCCUGUCUUCCUGUUUUAGCUCUCAGACAGUCAAUAAAUAUCC